rnacentral:rRNA from 1 species
CCUACGGGGGGCAGCAGUGAGGAAUAUUGGUCAAUGGAUGAGAGUCUGAACCAGCCAAGUAGCGUGAAGGAUGACUGCCCUAUGGGUUGUAAACUUCUUUUAUAUGGGAAUAAAAUGUUCCACGUGUGGGAUUUUGUAUGUACCAUAUGAAUAAGGAUCGGCUAACUCCGUGCCAGCAGCCGCGGUAAUACGGAGGAUCCGAGCGUUAUCCGGAUUUAUUGGGUUUAAAGGGAGCGUAGGUGGAUUGUUAAGUCAGUUGUGAAAGUUUGCGGCUCAACCGUAAAAUUGCAGUUGAAACUGGCAGUCUUGAGUACAGUAGAGGUGGGCGGAAUUCGUGGUGUAGCGGUGAAAUGCUUAGAUAUCACGAAGAACUCCGAUUGCGAAGGCAGUUCACUGGACUGCAACUGACACUGAGGCUCGAAAGUGUGGGUAUCAAACAGGAUUAGAUACCCGAGUAGUC